UCCCUCUCAGGGUCGCACCUGGAGAGUUUCCAGUAUUCUACCAGUCUCGACUACGGGAAGGAGAGUCAAGCGGAGGCCUAACCAUUCCAUUCCUAGCUUGGCCAGUGGCUAGCGAGUGGAAGGCCAUCUGCUACAAGU
rnacentral:snoRNA from 1 species